AAACCCCGAGCACUCCCGUGGCGCUGCCCCGAGUGGGGCAGCGAUGCUGGGCUCUCACCUGCCUCCUUUUCUACCUCCUCCUCCUCCUCCUGCCGGCAGGACGGAGCGGGGGCCGCCGCCGGCCUCCUUUAUAUAGCGGCGGGGGGCGCAGCCUCCGAGCCGAGCCGAGCCGAGCCGCAGCGCCCCCCCGCGGCCCGAGGCUCCCCCCGCGCCGCCCCCGCGCCCCGAGCACUGGGGGGGGGCCGUGGGAAACGCGCCCCGCUUCGGGCCCCGGGAUGCUCGAAGCAGAAAGGAGGAGCUGGUCCCCAAAAAGGGGAGCCCGCAAGGGAAAACCAGCCUCUGUAUGCUGUCACCCUCGGGUCUGGAAUCCAGGCACAGGCAGAUGCACGCAGAGCUACUCAGGAAGAGGAUGCCAGCCAGAUGCCACAUGGCCUUCUCCUGCCCAGAAGCCCCUACGACAGCUCUUGGAGACACCAGGAGAAGAGCCAGGACUUCAGGACAUGCAUUCAGAGGCGUGAAAUUACAUGUAACUGGAAGACUGGGGAGACCUGGGCAGGAAUAUCCGUGGUCUGCAUCCCAAAUCAAACCUAGCCCUUUGGCAGCUGGGAUCCAGAUCAGUGAGCAUCCCCGAAAAAUAUCCUUGCCCGGUGCCCACCUGAUCAGGCUGAUGUUAUGGUCUCAUGUGGCAGGGCAGUCGUAUCACAGGGUGUAUCCUUAUUUCCCAGGAAUGCGAUAGCUUCCUUAUUUCUGCCUGUGCUCAAACACGCUGUGCUUGCAUCUGUCUGCAGUUUAAAGUGCCAAGUACAUCCCUGUGGCACCAUCAGUCUGUCUUCUAUCCUUAAAGGACCUUCGUUUAGAGUUUGUUCUUCCCUGCUGAAAAAAAAAGUAGCUGUAUUUCCCACCCUCAUCCCCACCAUCACUACCGUGUGGACUAAAUACUUGAAUACAUGGACUCUUGAACUAUAAAGACAAUGGAGAUGAAGCAUCUCAGUGGGUGAAGUGGCUGAGAGCAUCCCUCUGGCCGGCACGAAGGAGGACCCUGAUGAGACAGGCUCUGGCAGCUUUAGCUGUGGUGGGUUAGGGAUGGAGAAAUCUUGCUGUUGAUGUUUCCCUCUCAUUUACUCCAUCCCAGCCACCCAGACACCUUGUACCCCCAAGCACUUCAGCCACUGACUUUCAGAAAGCAGCAACAAUGCUUGUCAUAUCAGAAGGCAUCGCCAGGAGACUCCUGAAGUCAGGGGCUUACAUGGGAGGCAGCCUUUCACUGCCCUCAGUUUACACUAGAGCCUGAAAGGACCCACUGGCUAUAUUAAAACGGUGUCAUAAUUGUGGAAGCCCAAAUUCAUGCAAGAUAUUAAUCAGACUGCCAAGAUCUGUUAUAUGAAAAAAAACAAAUCCGUGCUGGCAUUGAGUUUCUCUCCUCAAAAGAACAUUUUAGCAAACAAUUAUCACACCGAGUGCUUGACUUCUGAUCGCAGAGCUACUGCAGUCUAAAAGAUAAUUCAUGCCAUUAUCACACCUAAUUAAAAGCUACUUAUCUGCAGAAUGUGGGCUCCACUUUAUUUUUAGAUUCCAUGCAGAGGUGAAAUUAUCUGCUGGAGAUAAUUCACCUAAACUUGUUUUUCUUAAGCAUUUGAGAGAGAGAUUUGUAGCCCAUACAAAUAAACAGUGGAAUAUUUCACCACUCCAACAAACAAAAAUACAUUGAUUACACUGUGAAGUGUAAAAUAAAGUGAUGAGAAGCAGCGGGUGACUUUAAUAAACGGGGCAGAGCACUUUCCAGUGCUGUUUCAAGCCACAACCACUGUCAGUGUGUUUUAGAGCAAGCUGCUGCAGCUGCAGAGAGGUGGCAGAAUAGCCUCACACAUAGACCUGCAAAUAAAACAGCAAGGAACCCAUGGCCCAGAACAGCUUGUGAGCAAGCAGAGUGUGAUCAGGGCUGGAUGUGACCCUGAUGGGGCUGGGAGGCCACAUGUCAUGGCCACGAUGGGCCCCCCAAACCUUCCUUCCCUUGUCAUAAGGGCAUGGGUUGGAGGCACAGUGGAGGCACCCAGGCUUCAUCCUCAUGUUCAAACAAGCACCCCAAUGCCUGUGAUAUAUACUCUGCUUCAUGCAAUAAAGCACUAUGCCUGUGGGCUGAAGCACAGCUAUUAGUUUAGACAGCAUAAAUUUAAAAAAAAAAAAAAAAAAAGCAUCUUCAUAUUAAUAACAUUGUCUUAGGGCCACAAGGGCACCAGAUGGGAGAGCAGGAUCAAGGGAUGUGUAGCAUGGAUAUAGCCAGUCUGUGUCAUUUGGCCUCAGGAUCAGAGAGUGGCUCCUGGCUGUGUUUACUUAGUAGUAAAUACAGAGCUGGUGGUGCCAGAAAGCUGCACAAGGCUUAUUUCUCUGCAGAAAUAAGUGAGAGGAAUGAAAGAAUUCAGCUUUGCAGAGUUCUGGGAAACAACACGAGUCAAAAAAAAGAUAGAUAGAUAGAUAGAUAGAUAGAUAGAUAGAUAGAUAGAUAGAUAGAUAGAUAACCUCCACACAUGCUUAGGUCAAGCUGCAGCAUCAUAUUAAGGCUAUUAGUCCCGGAAGACUUCUCAAAGGUUGCUUGCACCAGGGAAGAUGCAUCUCAGAUCUGCAUGAGGGAGGGUGCACAGAGCAUCUCCUGGGAUGCCUCCCCAGGAGCAGGAGCACUGCCAAAGGCAAGUGUAAAGAAAAUGAUGAGUGAGCAGGUGGGUGCCAAGCAGAGCAUACUAUAAGCAGGACAAGGACCCAGGUGUGGCUCCUGGGGCCAGCUGGUUUUGUUUAAAUGUCACCUUACACUUCACCAGCUAAAACUCAAGUGCUGACUUUCUUGUGUUGGAAUGAAGCCAUCUGAUAUUGACUUAAGCAUCUUCUGGUCUUGAAUAGCUGUAAACACAUACAUUGCAUCAACACGAGGGGUGAGAAUGAUACUUAAACUGUUAUCAGUACAAUUAAAGUGGGACAAAACAAAUACUGCAUCAAAAUAAACACUGAGGAGCUGGCUUGGACUAUGGCUGUUGCUCUUUUCAACAGGAGAGAACCUGGCUCGUCGCAAACCCCCACAACCUGUGCUGGAAAGAUGUAGUGGAGCUCUAUAUAAAUUACAGCUAAAUCAGUUGAAUCCCUCAUCUGUGAAUGUUGGCUGGCUAAUUUAAUGAGAAAUAAAAUGUUGCAGCCAGAGCAAAUCUAUCAUGUAAAGCAAACAGUCUGGCCAGAAAAAUAUCAGCUUCAUCCAUCAAGCCAAUUGAUCCUUGAUUCAAAAUGAGGAGGAAUAUCUUGUAUGCUGAAAUUACUAGUGACUGAAUAUCCUGCUAAAACAUAUUGCAUUAGGCACAGAAACAGCAAUAACCUGAUCAUUUUUGAGUGGAGUACAACCAAGUGGUGAGGAUGAGUGCAAAUACUCUUUUUUUUUUAAAUGUCUCUGAUUAUUUUAACCCGUAAAUUCAAAGUCUUCUGGGAUCACAAUAGUUGCCUCUCUGAGCUGUGUUACUGCUUGAUAACAGCAGCAAAAACACUGCAGACAGAUGAUAAAGCAGUUUGAUGUGAGUUCUUGUGAAUGACACCAUGGAAGAAAUCCGUCCCGUGAGAGCCAAGGAAUCCCAGUCAUGAAGAAGAGCAAUUGCAGGCAGAUAAAAAUGGCAGCUUGCUCAGCGCAUCGACCUCCUGUCUGAACAAAUAAAAUUGAAUGCAUUUACUUAGACUAAGGGGACUUUUCAUGUGAGUGAUUUCUAAUCAUCAUGAGUAAGACUGCUCAAUUUAAGUAACAAAUACACAGUCCUUUCAAUUUUUGUUCUGAUUUUUAGUAAGGAACCAUUAUAGUGGAGGAAAAUACUGUGAUAGUCUGAGCAAAAUGACUCUAUACAUUUUAUGAACUUUCAUUGAUUCAUGACCCUG
rnacentral:lncRNA from 1 species